GACGAACGCUGGCGGCGUGCUUAACACAUGCAAGUCGAACGGAAAGGCCCUGCUUUUGUGGGGUGCUCGAGUGGCGAACGGGUGAGUAACACGUGAGUAACCUGCCCUUGACUUUGGGAUAACUUCAGGAAACUGGGGCUAAUACCGGAUAGGAGCUCCUGCUGCAUGGUGGGGGUUGGAAAGUUUCGGCGGUUGGGGAUGGACUCGCGGCUUAUCAGCUUGUUGGUGGGGUAGUGGCUUACCAAGGCUUUGACGGGUAGCCGGCCUGAGAGGGUGAACGGCCACAUUGGGACUGAGAUACGGCCCAGACUCCUACGGGAGGCAGCAGUGGGGAAUAUUGCACAAUGGGCGGAAGCCUGAUGCAGCAACGCCGCGUGCGGGAUGACGGCCUUCGGGUUGUAAACCGCUUUCGCCUGUGACGAAGCGGGAGUGACGGUAAUGGGUAAAGAAGCACCGGCUAACUACGUG
rnacentral:rRNA from 1 species